UACUUAGUGGCAGACGGGUGAGUAACAUGUGGGUAUCUUCCCUUUGGCCUGGAAUAACACGAGGAAACUUGUGCUAAUACCGGAUAAGUCUUUACGGAGAAAGCUUUAUGCACCAUUGGAUGAGCCUGCACUUGAUUAGUUUGUUGGUGGGGUAAUGGCCUACCAAGACUUUGAUCAAUAGCUGAUUUGAGAGGAUGAUCAGCCACAUUGGGACUGAGACACGGCCCAAACUCCUACGGGAGGCAGCAGUGGGGAAUCUUGCACAAUGGAGGAAACUCUGAUGCAGCGAUGCCGCGUGAGUGAAGGAGGCCUUUGGGUUGUAAAGCUCUUUCGUCGGGGAAGAAAAUGACUGUACCCGAAUAAGAAGGUCCGGCUAACUUCGUGCCAGCAGCCGCGGUAAUACGAAGGGACCUAGCGUAGUUCGGAAUUACUGGGCUUAAAGAGUUCGU
rnacentral:rRNA from 1 species